AUCGCUUCUCAGCCUUUUGGCUAAGAUCCAGUGUAUGUUGUUCAUUCAGU
rnacentral:snRNA from 1 species